rnacentral:rRNA from 1 species
AUGAACGCUAGCGGCAGGCUAACACAUGCAAGUCGAGGGGUAGAGUUCUUCGGAACUUGAGACCGGCGCACGGGUGCGUAACGCGUAUGCAAUCUACCUUAUACAGGGGAAUAGCCCAGAGAAAUUUGGAUUAAUGCCCCAUAGUAUUAUUGAAUGGCAUCAUUUGAUAAUUAAAGUUCCAACGGUAUAAGAUGAGCAUGCGUCCCAUUAGUUAGUUGGUAAGGUAACGGCUUACCAAGACAAUGAUGGGUAGGGGUCCUGAGAGGGAGAUCCCCCACACUGGUACUGAGACACGGACCAGACUCCUACGGGAGGCAGCAGUGAGGAAUAUUGGUCAAUGGGCGCAAGCCUGAACCAGCCAUGCCGCGUGCAGGAAGAAGCAUCUAUGGUGUGUAAACUGCUUUUAUACAGGAAGAAACAACGCUACGUGUAGCGUCUUGACGGUACUGUAAGAAUAAGGACCGGCUAACUCCGUGCCAGCAGCCGCGGUAAUACGGAGGGUCCAAGCGUUAUCCGGAAUCAUUGGGUUUAAAGGGUCCGUAGGCGGUUUUAUAAGUCAGUGGUGAAAUCUCCUAGCUCAACUAGGAAACUGCCAUUGAUACUGUAAGACUUGAAUUUUUGUGAAGUAACUAGAAUAUGUAGUGUAGCGGUGAAAUGCUUAGAUAUUACAUGGAAUACCAAUUGCGAAGGCAGGUUACUAACAAACGAUUGACGCUGAUGGACGAAAGCGUGGGGAGCGAA